UACUGGGUUCGGGCCGAGUUCCAUAUGAUUCGACCCACUUCAGUUUCGCACCAAAAUAGGACGCAGUCUUUCUCAGUUCUCACCUUCUCGCACAGAAGAGUCUGAAGAAGAGAAGAGAAGAGCAAUGAGUGGAGAAGAAUUAGCGGGCCCCCCUGCCCCAAAGCUCCUCCGUCUGCUUUAUUUUGUCGGCGCUGGCUUUUUUUGCACUGUUGGAAUCAAUAAAUGGCGUGAGCUUCAGAACAAGUCAAUUUUACAGCAGCAACAGCUCCCUGAAAAUGCCGCAAAUGCCCCUGAGUGAUCUCCAGGUUUUUGAUUUGAAAGUCUUGCUGGUGACAAUAAUGAUAAAUCAUGCUCCCUUUCAACUAUCCUUGGAUGCUUAUGCAUGAUCUCCUGGAGCUUCUAACUUCUAACUUCAAAUAACGUAGCCAAAACCACGAGGCAAUUGCUUCACUGAGUUCUGCAACCUUCACAUAAUGCAGUUAUCUGUUGCGGCUCGAUGCAGUUUUACCUUCGAAAGCCUUGAAGAACUUAUUGAGCUGAAGCUUUUAUGUUUGUUUUUUCAUAGAAGCAUUCUUUUGUCGGACUAUCAAUCAAGGUUAUUGGUUUGGCAGAUCAUAUCAAUACGUAGUCAGGAUGAAAGUUUGGCCACAUAACAUUUCAAACUACUUUUUAAAGAACGUUUCUUGGCUUUUA